CCUCCGGAGUCCAUGCCGCGCACGUCCGUGAAACCACCGCACGCCUCCACUCCGAUUCCUUCACGCACGAGCCCCUAUCCCCGAGUCCGUUCGCGUCACUCCGAAGCCCCUGAACUCCUCUUCCACUUCCCCCAAACCCCACGUCCAAUUUCGCACCGGUUAGAGAUUAAUUGCUCACCGGAGUUCAUUGCUGCCGUCGCCAUUCUUCGCGAUUCGCCGCCGUUCCGGUGAGGUUCUCCCCGCGCCGACCCCCUAGCCUCUCUCCUCUCCUCGUCCCGAACACCGUGACGUGCGCGCUUUAUUUUUUUGAAGCUCUGCCCGCGCUGUUCGCCUGCCGCGCCGUCAUCUUCCCCCGCUCCGGCGCUGCCCGCGGCCGCGCCCGUCCGCUGUGCCGCCCGCGCCGCCCCGCGCCGCUCCGCCUCUCGCCCGCUGCCGUGCCCGUCCGCCGCGCCACCGGCCCGAACCCUAGAUCCCGGCCAACCGUGCGCUGCCACGUGUUAGAGCAUUUUUUUAAUUUUUAAUUUUAUUUUUCGGCCGAAUUAAAUAUUGCACUUUUACAGAAAGGCCCCUCCAACUUCAAAGCAUCAUAUCUUUCAAACCGUUUGUCCAAAAUUUGUGUUCCGCACCUUUCUGGAAUCGUCACAACUUGUAGAAUGUUUUGGCACUGUCUAAUUUCAGUUUUGAACAACUUAGUCAGAAGCAAUUUACAGAAUGGUGGUUUAUGGUUUAAAUUUCAAAUGAAUUGUUUCAAAAUAGUUUUGAGCAUGUUAGCUUGCUAUAAAAUUAUUUAAACUUGUUCUCUGUCCAUUAGGACCAGAAAAGAAAUUGUUUUGUGAAUAAAAAUGGCAUACAAGUUUAAAUCUUGUUCUAUGUUGCAAAAACCACA
rnacentral:lncRNA from 1 species